UUGGCUUUACCUUAAGCCGGUGCGCGAACCCGCAAGGGACGUAGCCGUCCACGGUAAGGUCAGCGACUGGGGUGAAGUCGUAACAAGGUAGCCGUAGGUAACCUGCAGAAGGAUCA
rnacentral:rRNA from 1 species